AGGACGAACGCUGGCGGCGUGCUUAACACAUGCAAGUCGAGCGGUAAGGCCCUUUCGGGGGUACACGAGCGGCGAACGGGUGAGUAACACGUGAGCAAUCUGCCCUUCACUUCGGGAUAAGCCUCGGAAACGGGGUCUAAUACCGGAUAUGACCGCGCUACGCAUGUGGUGUGGUGGAAAGUUCUGGCGGUGGAGGAUGAGCUCGCGGCCUAUCAGCUUGGUUGGUGGGGUAAUGGCCUACCAAGGCUUCGACGGGUAGCCGGCCUGAGAGGGUGACCGGCCACGACUGGGACUGAGACACGGCCAGACUCCGUACGGGAGCAGCAGUGGGAAUAUGGACAAGUGGGCGAAAGCCUGAUCCGAGCAACGCCGCGUGAGGAUCGACGGUCCUUCGGGUUACGUAACCUUCGUUUCAGUCCGACCGACGAGCGAGAGUGACGGUA
rnacentral:rRNA from 1 species